GGACCCUGAGGAGCAGGGCUGACACCCUGGGGAAGGUCACUAGCCAAGCACGACUAGUGGGCCUGGGGCCUGGUAUUGGGGGUGUGGAGGGACUGCCUGUACUUGCCCUGCCAUCUCUGGUGGACCCCUCUGAGCCUGGGUUGGCCUGUCUCUUUCGAAGGCUCCUCUCUGCACUGGGCACCCUUGGGUACCCUUCCCCCCAGGCCUGAAGUAGGUGGAGAUUCAUCCAUCACAGGCAGGCGUGGUGUUACGGAAUGAAUUGAGUCCCCCAAAAAUAUGUGUAGUAAAUCCUAACCUCUAUGCCUGUUUUUUUUUUUAUAUAAGACCAGAAUCCCAGUGGCAUAGUGGUUAAGAGCUAGGCUGCUAGCCAAAAAGUUGGCAGCCUGAAUCCACCAGGCACUCCUUGGAAAUUCUCUGGGGCAGUUCUACUCUGUCCUAUGGGUUCGGUAGGAGUUGGACUGACUUGAUGGCAACAGGUUUUAUGCCUGUUGACCAGACCUUUUGUUGUACAGGUCUUUAUGAGUCGCUGUGAGUUGGAGCCUAGGACAACACCUAACCAGGAGGCCUGUGGUUAUAAUCCCACUUGGGAAUGUGUUGUCUUUGUUAUGUUAAUGAAACAGGAUUAGUGUGGGGUUAGUCUUAAAUCAAUCUCUUUUGAAAAAUAAGAGAUUAAACAAGCAAGCUAGAAAACAGAUUGGGGGGGAGGAGAGAUGGAGAAAAUCACCAAAGGGCAGAAGCUCAAAAAGAGAAGGACCUUCCUCCAGAAAGAGGAAAGUCUUCCCCUAGAGCUGGCGCCCUGAGUUUGGACUUGUAGCCUCCUAAACUGUGAGAAAAAAAAUGUGUUUGUUAAAGCCUUCCUCUUGCGGUAUUUCUGAUAUAGCAGCACUAGAUAACUAAGACACAUGGCCUAUAAAUGUCUGUUCAGUUGAAAUGAAUUGAGCCAGGUGAGGAUUGCUUCCAGCUUGAAUGCCAGCCUCCCUCUCUCUCUGAGAUGACAAAGUCGCCAGUGGCAAUUCCUGGUUUUGAGCCUGUAGACUGAGAGCCUGGGGGCAGGUAUUGGAGCUGUGCAUUCUGUCAGUUAUUCCACAACUAUGUAAUGAUUACCUACUAUGUGCUCGACACUGUUUUAGGUGCUGGGGAUACAGCAGCCAUCGAAGACAAAAUUCCUGCCUUGGUGGAGCUCAAACUCCAGCCAGGAGGAGAAAGUUGAGGAAGUGGCGGCAUUUGCAAUUUUGAAUGGAAUGGCCAGGGAUGACCUCACUGAGGUGACAUUUGAGACAAGACUUGAAGAAGGAAGAUCACCACGGGUACAUUGUUUAGAAUAUUGCUGGUAACACAGGAGGGAGAUGGUGGCGGUUGGACCAGGGUGACAGCUGUGGCUGUAGUGAAGGUGUUGAAUUCUGGAUACUGUAUUUGAGGAUGGAGCUGAUGGCCUGGAACGAACGCAUUCAGGUAUUACAGGUCUGACAAGGAAAGGAAAAAUCCCAGCCUGUAGGUCAAACCCAGCCUUGAGGCCUGGUGCUGGCUGGUGGGAAAAAAGCCAAGUGGAAGAGAGCUGGGAAGUUUGACUCCAGGCUAAUUCCUUGAGAGAAGUUGAGUUGCCAGAAGUCAUGGAGACAGGUUAAAGAGGUUAAAGAUCCCUGCUCCAAGGUCACCCCCUCAGGGAGGCCUUCCCUGACCACUCUAUCUCAUGUCACUCCACACCUGUCAUGGAUGGAAUUGUGUCCCCCAAAAAUAUGUGUAUCAACUUGGCUACUCAUGAUUCCCGGUACUGUGUGGUUGUUCACCAUUUUGUCAUCUGAUGUGAUUUUCCUAUGGGUUGUAAAUCCUAUCUCUAUGAUGUGGAUGAGAUGGGAUUAGUGGCAGUCAUGUUAAUGAGGCAGAACUCAAUCUACAAGAUUGGAUUGUGUCUUGAGCCAAUCUCUUUUGAGAUAUAAAAGAGCAGAGAGACAGGGGGGAUCUCAUACCACUAAGAAGCAGUGCCAGGAACAGAGUACAUCCUUUGGACCUGGAGUUCUUGCACAGAGAAGCUCCUAGAUCAGGAGAAGAUCGAUGACAAGGACCUUCCUUCAGAGCCAGCAGAGAGAGAAGGCCUUCCCCUGGACCUUUUGCCCUGAAUUUGGACUUGUAACCUACUUGACUGUGAGAGAAUAAAUUUCUUUUUGUUAAAGGCAUCCACUUGUGGUAUUUGUUAUAGCAGCAGUAGAUGACUAGGACACCAUCUAUUCCCUUACUCUGCUACAGUUUUCUUCUGGUUGCCACCUGAUUUACAUUUGUUUAUUUAGUAUUUAUUGUUUGUCUCAUAAGGAGCCCUGGUGGCACAGUGGUUAAGCAUUUGGCUGCUAAUCAAAAGGUGGACAGUUUGAGUCCACCAGCUGCUCCUUGGAAACCCUAUGGGGCAGUUCUACUCUGUCCUGUAGGGUCACUAUGAGUCAGAAUUGACCCGAUGGCGAUGCGUUUUGGGUUUUUGUCUGUCUCAUGGAAUGUAUGCUCCAGAAGGACAGGGAUUUGGGAGUGGUUUUGUUCACUGCUGCACCACCAGCACUGAGAACAGUGCCUGGCACAUAGUAGGUGCUCAGUAAGUAUUUGUUGACUGAAUGAGUGAGUAGAAGGAAGGUGGUGGGGCUGAGGUUGGGCAGGCACACUCCAGUCCUGAGCAUCCCAGCAGUUAGGCCCACAGGAAAGUAGAAAUCGACCUACUGAAGCAAAUAGGUUUAAGGGGGAGACAGAAGUUCAGUCAUGGGGCACAACAAGGGCCCUGAGUGUGGAAAAACAGAGGACAAGCGCUUCUAACUGUGGAUCUUGCUGUGCUGGGAUGGCAGCCCUGUCAUCUCACUGCCUGAGCCAGGGAGAUGCUGCGGAGCCCUGGGAAAUGCAAGCCGUCGGCAGCUGGCCCUGUGGGUGGAUGCUGCAGCCGUGAUCACAGGGAACGUGGAAACUAUGCCAGCUUGCAGGCCUGGGGCUUGAGCAAUGAAAGCAGCAGUGCUUUUGGUUGGAUUUCAUUAUAUGAUAUUUGGUAUGAACAAAAAAAAUGUAAUACGCAUGUAAAUCAAG